rnacentral:RNase_P_RNA from 1 species
CCAGACGGCCGGAUGGCCGCUCCCGGGGCUUCCCGGGGGAGGAAAGUCCGGGCUCCACGGAAACACGGUGCCGGGUAACACCCGGCGGAGGUGACUCCAGGGACAGUGCCGCAGAAAACAGACCGCCGGCUCGCUUGCGUGCCGGCAAGGGUGAAACGGUGCGGUAAGAGCGCACCGCGUUUCCGGCAACGGAGACGGCACGGUAAACCCCACCGGGAGCAAGACCGAAUAGGGACGGCGUGGCCUGGCGACAGGUCGAUGGUGUUUCCGCCUCCGUCCGGGCCGGUCGCACGAGGUGCGUGGCAACGCGCGCCCGAGAUGAAUGGCCAUCCUCGACAGAACCCGGCUUACAGGCCGUCUGGCCCG